rnacentral:rRNA from 1 species
CGGGGGGAGCAAGCGUUGUUCGGACUUACUGGGCGUAAAGGGCGCGUAGGCGGCCACCGCAAGUCGACUGUGAAAUCUCCGGGCUUAACCCGGAAAGGUCAGCCGAUACUGCGGGGCUAGAGUGCAGAAGGGGCAACUGGAAUUCUCGGUGUAGCGGUGAAAUGCGUAGAUAUCGAGAGGAACACCUGCGGCGAAGGCGGGUUGCUGGGCUGACACUGACGCUGAGGCGCGAAAGCUAGGGGAGCGAACGGGAUUAGAUACCCCGGUAGUCCUAGCCUUAAACGAUGAAUGCUUGGUGUCUGGGGUUUUAUAGUCCCCGGGUGCCGUCGCUAACGCUUUAAGCAUUCCGCCUGGGGAGUACGGUCGCAAGACUG